UGGUGGUGGAGGUAGGGGUGUUUUGGUGGAGUUUCCUGCAUACUUGCAGUCUUCUGAGUGAUCCAAUGCAGAAAAUAUUUUUUGGAAAAAUUUCUUGCUGGAACCAUGGGAAAAACAUGCAGUGGGAAGAAAACAACUAAGGACAAAAUAGAUUUAUCAUAUCAAAGGCUUCCUUUCUCUCUCAAAAUAGAUUAAAAGCAGGUAUUAUUUUUAUCAUAAAGAAGGUAGGAUCAGAGAAACUCUUGUGGACUAUGGAGUCCAGCUUCUUCCUGCAACUUAACUGAU